rnacentral:lncRNA from 1 species
GAGUAGAGUGCGAACAGACCUUGGGUGCGAAUGUGCGAGGUGCGAACGUGUAGGGUGCGAAAGUGUAUUGGACGCGAACAGACCUGAUACCACAUAGACUGAACCCCCUUCUUCCACAAAAUAUCAAACAUUUGUCAAAGAAUUCUAGUCAAACCGACACCUGGACAAAUCAGCACCUGGUUAAAUCGACACCUGAUAUAGUCAAUUCGUCACCCAUGUUAAAUAUAUAUUUU